rnacentral:rRNA from 1 species
AUUGAACGCUGGCGGCAUGCCUUACACAUGCAAGUCGAACGGUAACAGGUCUUCGGAUGCUGACGAGUGGCGAACGGGUGAGUAAUGCAUCGGAACGUGCCCAGUAGUGGGGGAUAGCCCGGCGAAAGCCGGAUUAAUACCGCAUACGACCUGAGGGUGAAAGGGGGGGAUCGCAAGACCUCUCGCUAUUGGAGCGGCCGAUGUCAGAUUAGCUAGUUGGUGGGGUAAAGGCCUACCAAGGCAACGAUCUGUAGUUGGUCUGAGAGGACGACCAGCCACGCUGGGAAUGAGACACGGCCCAGACUCCUACGGGAGGCAGCAGGGGGGAAUUUUGGACAAUGGGCGCAAGCCUGAUCCAGCAAUGCCGCGUGCAGGAAGAAGGCCUUCGGGUUGUAAACUGCUUUUGUCAGGGAAGAAAUCUUCUGGGUUAAUACCUCGGGAGGAUGACGGUACCUGAAGAAUAAGCACCGGCUAACUACGUGCCAGCCGCCGCAGUAAAAC